UGCAACUGUGAUGAAAGAACUACCGCCCCAGUCUGAUGUCUGUGACUGACUGGUUUUCUUCUGAGUUGUU